rnacentral:rRNA from 1 species
GACGAACGCUGGCGGCGUGCCUAAUACAUGCAAGUAGAGCGCACAGUUUAUACCGUAGCUUGCUACACCAUAGACUGUGAGUUGCGAACGGGUGAGUAACGCGUAGGUAACCUGCCUGGUAGCGGGGGGUAACUAUUGGAAACGAUAGCUAAUACCGCAUAAUAUUGAUUAUUGCAUGAUAAUUGAUUGAAAGAUGCUAUUGCAUCACUACCAGAUGGACCUGCGUUGUAUUAGCUAGUAGGUGAGGUAACGGCUCACCUAGGCGACGAUACAUAGCCGACCUGAGAGGGUGAUCGGCCACACUGGGACUGAGACACGGCCCAGACUCCUACGGGAGGCAGCAGUAGGGAAUCUUCGGCAAUGGACGAAAGUCUGACCGAGCAACGCCGCGUGAGUGAAGAAGGUUUUCGGAUCGUAAAGCUCUGUUGUAAGAGAAGAACAGGUGUGAGAGUGGAAAGUUCACACUGUGACGGUAUCUUACCAGAAAGGGACGGCUAACUACGUG